AUUGAACGCUGGCGGCAUGCCUUACACAUGCAAGUCGAACGGUAACAGGUUAAGCUGACGAGUGGCGAACGGGUGAGUAAUAUAUCGGAACGUGCACAGUCGUGGGGGAUAACGUAGCGAAAGCUACGCUAAUACCGCAUACGAUCUACGGAUGAAAGCGGGGGAUCGCAAGACCACGCGGGAUUCGAGCGGCCGAUAUCAGAUUAGGUUGUUGGUGAGGUAAAACCUCACCAAGCCUGCGAUCUGUAGCUGGUCGGAGAGGACGACCAGCCACACUGGAACUGAGACACGGUCCAGAUUCCUACGGGGGGCAGCAGUGGGGAAUUUUGGACAAUGGACGCAAGUCUGAUCCAGCAAUGCCGCGUGCAGGACGAAGGCCUUCGGGUUGUAAACUGCUUUUGUACGGAACGAAACGGUGAACCCUAAUACAGUUUGCUAAUGACGGUACCGUAAGAAUAAGCACCGGCUAACUACGUGCCAGCAGCCGCCGUAA
rnacentral:rRNA from 1 species